rnacentral:lncRNA from 1 species
GUUGAACCCCCUAAAAGUACCCCUUGAGUAGCUUUAUUUCUGCUGUGUGAUUUAAGUGCAGUCCCAGCAAGUGUGGUAGGUCAGAUCUCACCUCAUCCUGCAGUCUUGCCUAUCCACAAGAUGUAACUGAAAUAGAACAAAGUGAGACACUCAGCACCUUCAGUGCUCACGGCUUCCAAAAGCUCUGCCAAAGCCCCAGCUACUUAUUCAAACAGUCCACGUGUUCUUUGUAUUUGGACAGUGCUUCACACCUUAUUGCAAAGGCAGUGUGUUUACAGGAAAAGAUUUCAAGCUGGCCAAUGUUGCUUUAGCAGAUCCAGAGAAUAUGAUUGCGAGGGUUGGGGAGAGAGAUCAAAGCAAAGCAAGCAGAAUGCGGUACAACAGAGGCAAGGCAGCAAUGCAGGACGUGUGGCUGCAGGUAAUGCGGGCACCCCAAAGUGGGCAGAAGGAGAAAUGAAGGCAAACCCCUCAGUAAGUCCAAUCCUGCACGGAUGUACCAGAGCUGUGCUGGGGGAACUGCAGGGAAAGUUCUGCUCCAGGUGGGACCUGGGGAGUCAAUCUGUGCUGAGGGAAUAAAGUGCUUUUCUCGGAUGUACUCCUCUGCAUCUUCUGUUUCUCUUUAAGACGACCCCGAGAUGUGCGACGUUCCCUUUCAGAGAGAUAAAGCACUCCACCUGAAGCAAACUCCAGAUGUGGCUGCAGCAUCAUUUUGGGUAUUGACUUCAUUCUAUCGCUUUGCAACUGCAGCAGCACUCCUUCUUAAGGCUUUCAGGUAUCCCAGGGUUUUCAGAAAGCAGUUACAUGUUGUUAAUGUCAGACAUCUCCCCAUCCAUCCACUCACUUGGAGCAGUUUGUUUGGAGAACCAAUUUUCUGUUCCACAACGAUGCAUCCCUUGC